AAUAAUCUCUCCAGUUCAUUCAGGGUUUAUCAUCGUUCCUGUGGGUUUAGCAGCUCUCUUAAUAACUGUUGUGCUGAUCAUCAGAUGGAAGAAAACUAAAGGUGAAAACAUUCACAGAUUAAAGUUUAUUAUAAGUUGACUCAUAAGUAAAUUCAUCUUUUUUCCUCUUUUCAGAAAACAAAACACAAUGUGGCAACAACACGGGACUGAGCUUAAACCCUGCAGACACUGAAUUUGGUCCAGGAACCAAUCAGGACAUGAUGUGGACUGAUGCUGAUGAUGGUGUUUCAUAUGCCUCCAUCAGCUUCACCAAGAAGACCAAGAAUAAAGCCCGG
ensembl:lncRNA